AGAGUUUGAUCCUGGCUCAGGAUGAACGCUGGCGGUAUGCCUAACACAUGCAAGUCGUACGAGAGUUUUUAACUCUAGUGGCGGACGGGUGAGUAACACGUGAGAAUUUGCCUUUAGGAGGGGGACAACAACUGGAAACGAAUGCUAAUACCCCAUAUGCUUUCGAGUAAAAUGGAUUUUAUCUGCCUAAAGAGAAGCUCGCGGCUGAUUAGCUUGUUGGUAAGGUAAGAGCUUACCAAGGCGACGAUCAGUAUCUGGUUUGAGAGGACGAUCGGACACACUGGUACUGAGACACGGACCAGACCCCUACGGGAGGCAGCAGUGAGGAAUAUUGCACAAUGGGGGGAACCCUGAUGCAGCAACGCCGCGUGGAGGAUGACGCAUUUCGGUGUGUAAACUCCUUUUAUAUGUCAAGAAAAUGACGGUAGCAUAUGAAUAAGCACCGGCUAACUCCGUGCCAGCAGCCGCGGUAAUACGGAGGGUGCAAGCGUUACUCGGAAUCACUGGGCGUAAAGGACGCGUAGGCUGUUUAGCAAGUCAGAUGUGAAAUCCAAUGGCUCAACCAUUGAACUGCAUUUGAAACUGCUAGACUAGAGUAUGGGAGGGGGAGAUGGAAUUAGUGGUGUAGGGGUAAAAUCCGUAGAUAUCACUAUGAAUACCUCACGCGAAGGCAAUCUCCUGGAACAUUACUGACUCUCACGCGUGAAAGCGUGCGGAGCAAACAGGAUUAAAUACCCUGGUAGUCCACGCCCUAUACGAUGAACACUACUCGUCGCGAUGCUUGUCAUUGCAGUGAUGCACUUAACAGAUUAAGUGUUCCGCCUGGGGAGUACGGUCGCAAGAUUAAGACUCAAAGGAAUUGGCGGGGGUCCGCACAAGCGGUGGAGCAUGUGGUUUAAUUUGAUGAUACGCGAGGAACCUUACCUGGGCUAGAAUGCUGGUGGAUCGUGGGUGAAAGCUCAUUUUGUAGCAAUACACCGCCAGUAAGGUGCUGCAUGGCUGUUGUCAGCUCGUGCCGUGAGGUGUUGGGUUAAGUCCCGCAACGAGCGCAACCCCCAUCAUUAGUUGCCAACAGGUCAAGCUGGGAACUGUGAUGAAACUGCCGUCGCAAGACGCGAGGAAGGAGGGGAUGAUGUCAAGUCAUCAUGGCCUUUAUGCCCAGGGCUACACACGUGCUACAAUGGGAGGGACAAAGAGCUGCCACUUGGUGACAAGGAGCUAAUCUCAAAAACCCUCUCUCAGUUCGGAUCGCAGUCUGCAACUCGACUGCGUGAAGCUGGAAUCGCUAGUAAUCGUAUAUCAGCAAUGAUACGGUGAAUACGUUCCCGGACCUUGCACACACCGCCCGUCAAGCCAUGGAAGCUGGGUGUACCUAAAUGUCGGUAACUCGCAAGGGAGGCCUGCCUAAGGGUAAGAANNCUAGUGANNCUGGGGCGUAAGUCGUAACAAGGUAACC
rnacentral:rRNA from 1 species